CGUAGGUGGCAAGCGUUGUCCGGAAUUAUUGGGCGUAAAGCGCGCGCAGGCGGUCCUUUAAGUCUGAUGUGAAAGCCCACGGCUCAACCGUGGAGGGUCAUUGGAAACUGGGGGACUUGAGUACAGAAGAGAAGAGUGGAAUUCCACGUGUAGCGGUGAAAUGCGUAGAGAUGUGGAGGAACACCAGUGGCGAAGGCGACUCUUUGGUCUGUAACUGACGCUGAGGCGCGAAAGCGUGGGGAGCAAACAGGAUUAGAUACCCUGGUAGUCCACGCCGUAAACGAUGGGUGCUAAGUGUUAGAGGGUUUCCGCCCUUUAGUGCUGCAGCAAACGCAUUAAGCACUCCGCCUGGGGAGUACGGCCGCAAGGCUG
rnacentral:rRNA from 1 species